AGAGUAGUCAGCACAGGGACUUAACAGAAUAGCAUCUUAAUUGCUUAUCAGGAUGAGAAAGUAAAACUUCAAGCCAGACCAUGUGGCAAAUAGCCUGAGAGCCUUGGUGCCAACAACUGGAGAAGAGACUAUGGACCAGAGGGGCCUGCCAGCUGGGGACCAGCAAGUGCAUGAAGUCCAGCAUGAAGUCCAUAAACCAACUGACCAGAACCAGCUGUUAACAAAUCUCUGUGUGAUGUUAGAAAACCCUCAACCUGGUCUUCAGAUCUGGGAGUGUCUGCAUUGCAUUUUACAGUUGUGAGAUCUUCUUGUGUUAUUGUGGCUGCCAAUCAAGGCACUGCUCAUAUGUCUGUGUUGAUCUGUGCAAUGGCUGUGUUAAUAUUGUUCAUGCAUCUGCAUGUUUGGAGAUGCUAGCUACAGGCUAGACCUGCAAAUGGGAGCAACAACACCCAUAUCAAUAACGCUGAGACAAGGGGAACACAAAAGAUGAGAAGCCCACAGAGUUUGGAAACCUUUAAAGAUCUUUCAAAGACAAUUUAGUCCAACUGCACCUGGUCCAUGUUUGUCUAGUCCAAAUUUAUCCAAUUCUCCUUAUGAUGACAAACUUGCACUUCUUUUGGAUGGUAUUGGUAACUGUGCAAAAAAGAUACUUGACAACAUGUCCAUUGGGUAUGACAGUAUAUAUUGAUUUAUUUCUGAAAACUUCCUGGGUAAAAACUCACUUCUUAACUGCUGAGCGUUACACAAGCAAAGUGCAUCAAAAUAUCCACAAGAAACUGCACUGACUCUUUUUUGGGGGGACGGGGGGGUCUAAAUAGAAGAACUGUUUGUGCUUAAUAUUUAAACCAUCCUUACCUGUAAACUUCCUAAUUCCAAGUCAUUGUGACAAGCAGCUCGUAACAAAAAGAUUAAUAUUUAGUGUAGUAAGUACCGUGCAGAUGGAUGGUAUUUUAUGCAAGAUAUUUUUCAAAUUUAAUAUUAUGUAGGUAGUAAUUUUCCUGGUUGUAAAAUUGAGUUAACUUAAGAGAGACCUAUAAAAAUUAGGCUGGGUAUAUCAAAUACAGUGGUAAAAUGUCACGAUGAAAUCCAUUACAGUAGCCAUUAUAACUGUGCAUAUGCAGAACAUUGUUUCAAUUUGUUUUGGAAUAAAUCCUGCACUGCAUAAAGAACGACAGCUCUUAUUGAAUUUUGUGGUGAUUUGACCUGAAUUUAAAAAUAAUAAUAAUAAGAUUUUAUUUUUUAGCAGUGAAUUUAGAAGCAUCGCAAUACUAUGUUUCACUUCAGCCAAGUGCUUCUGAAAAUCACCAUUUAUUUCUGACGUUUUUAAGGACAUUCUUAAACGAUGUGUUGAUGAACCCACAAAGAGCAGAGCAUUGCCAGGACUUCAUAAGCAUUUUUUUUUAAACAAGCAAAAGUUGGUUUUUCAGAGAAAGACUUCCAUCUGCACAUAUUAACAGGUACAAUAUUCUACCUAUUUUAGUAGCAUCUGAGAAGUCCAGAAGUAGCAUCUAGAAGUCUACAUUUGCACCGUUAUUUAUCAUGAUACCAUCAGUAGUACCUCCCAUGGAACUACGAAUGCUCCCAGUAUGCUCUGAUUGCCCAAUCUACCUAUUAGCAAAGAAAGAAAUAUUUCUAUAAUUUAUGAGCAGCUGUUGAAGCUAUGUAAUAAAAAUCUAUACG
ensembl:lncRNA